CCCUCCCCCAGCCUCGCUGCCGCCUUGCAGUUUGAUCUCAGACUGCUGUGCUAGCAAUUAGCAAGACUCCGUGGGCGUAGGACCCUCCGAGCCAGGUGCGGGUUAUAAUCUACUGGUGCGCCGUGUUUUAAGCCCGUGGAAAAGCACAGUAUUAGGGUGGGAGUGACCCGAUUUUCCAGGUGCCGUCGGUCACCCCUUUCUUUGACUAGGAAAGGGAACUCCCUGACCCCUUGCGCUUCCCGAGUGAGGCAAUGUCUCGCCCUGCUUUGGCUCGCGCAUGGUGCGCUGCACCCACUGUCCUGCGCCCACUGUCUGGCACUCCCUAGUGAGAUGAACGCGGUACCUCAGAUGGAAAUGCAGAAAUCACCUGUCUUCUGCGUCACUCAUGCUGGGAGCUGUAGACCCGAGCUGUUCCUGUUCGUCCAUCUUGGCUGUAAUCCCAGGUUCAUCAAAAUAAGAUAUGAUCAAGGUACAAAAGAGUUAAAGAAGCUAUUUAUUUUAAUGUUUCCUUGGAGAGCACACUUGUUAUUGUAUGUAUGCAAAAGAUGAUCUUACUCUUGAGAGCCACUAGAACUCUUUGAAGAAAAAAAAAUGCUAUUUGCUAUAGGGAAAUCUUUCUGGAAAAGUAAUAAUUUCACCUUUGAGUCAGCUUCCCUGGACUCUUGCCUCAUACAUCUUCAGCCAAGAUGCCUGCCCCAGCUUUGCCUUCCACCAUGAGUAAAAGCUUCCCAAGUCCUCCCCAGAAGCAGAUGCUGGCGCUAUGCUUCUGGUACAGCCUGAAAAACCUUGAGCCAAUUAAACCUCAGUGAGCUCAAGAUGUCUUUGUUGAAACAGAACCUCCCGAAGUUACAGUAUUGGUUUUGGGGCUCCACACAGAGAACACAUCACGGAAGCUAUAAUUGAGGAAGACAAAGCUGUCAGGACGACACCAAGAGAGUUAGAAAGCCCAAGAGUGGAGCAUUCUUCACCAUGAUUCCACCUGACACUUGGCUGAAAGCAUUUUGCACUAAUUUGCUUUGUGCCCGUUCAGACAAUCUAAAAAGAAAGGAUGGGGGGACAACAAGUGUCUAUUACACAGAAUAAACAGCCUCUGGCAAAUGAAUACAUUUUACACACUUGUGCUUUUGGAGGGAUGGGGUAGUGAUGAGGGGAAGGGGAAUGGAGGAGGAGAAGUCAAGGAUUAGAGGUCUCUUCAGCAUCUCAGGACUGCCUCUCUCUCUCUGUGGUCACAGGGGUAGGUUUGGUCCACAUGGCAGACAUGAAACUCAAGAUACAGCCCUGGCGUAUACGGGUUGGGAGGCCAGUGCUGCCUCUGGUGGUCCCCCCAGACCUGCAAUUCAUAUUUUGAAUGGGUUUAAAGCCUACUUGGCAAUUACUUUUAUCCUCUAAUGAAAUAGAUUUGAACCACUUUCCCUUGAUUAUAUUUUAAAUGUUU
rnacentral:lncRNA from 10 species